AGAGUUUGAUCCUGGCUCAGAACGAACGUCGGCGGUCUGGAUUAGGCAUGCAAGUUGUGCGAACCCAGCAAUGGGGAGCAGCGUAAGGGGCAGUAAGGCAUGGGUAUCUACCCUGGGGUCGGGCAUAGCCUGUCGAGAGACAGGGUAAUUCCCGAUGAUGUCGAGAGACCAAAGGUCCGCCGCCCUAGGAGGAGCCCAUGUGAUAUUAGCUAGUUGGUAAGGUAACGGCUUACCAAGGCGAAGAUGUCUAGCGGGUGUGAGAGCACGACCCGCGCCACUGGCACUGAGACACUGGCCAGACACCUACGGGUGGCUGCAGUCGAGGAUCUUCGGCGAUGGGCGCAAGCCUGACCGAGCGAGACCGCGUGUGCGAUGAAGGCCUUCGGGUUGUAAAGCACUGUCGAGGGGGAGAAAAGCGCAAGCUUGAUCUAUCCCUGGAGGAAGCACGGGCUAAGUUCGUGCCAGCAGCCGCGGUAAGACGAACCGUGCGAACGUUGUUCGGAAUCACUGGGCUUAAAGGGCGCGUAGGCGGGCCACCAAGUCCGGGGUGAAAUCCUCCAGCUUAACUGGAGAACUGCCUCGGAUACUGGAGGUCUUGAGGAAGAUAGGGGCAAGCGGAACCGUGGGUGGAGCGGUGAAAUGCGUUGAUAUCCAUGGGAACUCCGGUGGCGAAGGCGGCUUGCUGGAUCUUUUCUGACGCUGAGGCGCGAAAGCCAGGGGCGCAAACGGGAUUAGAUACCCCGGUAGUCCUGGCCCUAAACGAUGAGAACUAGGUAGUAGACUAAACAUGGGUUUACUGCCGAAGCCAAAGUGCUAAGUUCUCCGCCUGGGGAGUAUGGUCGCAAGGCUGAAACUCAAAGGAAUUGACGGGGGCUCACACAAGCGGUGGAGCAUGUGGCUUAAUUCGAGGCUACGCGAAGAACCUUAUCCUGGACUUGACAU
rnacentral:rRNA from 1 species